rnacentral:lncRNA from 1 species
AUUAGAGAUUGUAACUUAGGCCUCUUUAAAUAGGAUUUCUGAUUAUUCUAUGAUACUUUAAGACAUUUACUUAUACCUAAUGUUAAAUGACGAGUUAAUGGGUGCAGCACACCAACAUGGCACAUGUAUACAUAUGUAACAAACCUGCACAUUGUGCACAUGUACCCUAAAACUUAAAGUAUAAUUAAAAAAAUAUCCCCCCCCCCAAAAAAAAGACAUUUACUGAAUGCCUACGAUGUGCCAGAAAUGGGCUGUAUUUACACAAUACAGAAAAAGAAAAGAUAAGCAUUGCAUUUAAGAGCACAGAGCUGGCUGGGUAUGGUGCCCUCAUGGUUUAUAAUUUCUAAUUGUCUACUUAAAAUGAAGUGAUAUGGGAGAAAUUUAUCUAGACUCAAAAUCAGGAAGAAUUUUAUUUUUAUUUAAAAUUAGCUUUAUAGACACUACAU